UACGGAGGGUGCGAGCGUUGUCCGGAAUCACUGGGCGUAAAGGGCGCGUAGGCGGUCUGUCACGUCGGCUGUGAAAUCCCGAGGCUCAACCUCGGGUCUGCAGUCGAUACGGGCAAACUAGAGUAUUGCAGGGGAGACUGGAAUUCCUGGUGUAGCGGUGAAAUGCGCAGAUAUCAGGAGGAACACCGGUGGCGAAGGCGGGUCUCUGGGCAAUAACUGACGCUGAGGAGCGAAAGCGUGGGGAGCGAACAGG
rnacentral:rRNA from 1 species